GAUGAACGCUGGCGGCGUGCCUAAUACAUGCAAGUCGAGCGAACAGACGAGGAGCUUGCUCCUCUGACGUUAGCGGCGGACGGGUGAGUAACACGUGGAUAACCUACCUAUAAGACUGGGAUAACUUCGGGAAACCGGAGCUAAUACCGGAUAAUAUAUUGAACCGCAUGGUUCAAUAGUGAAAGACGGUUUUGCUGUCACUUAUAGAUGGAUCCGCGCCGACUUAGCUAGUUGGUAAGGUAACGGCUUACCAAGGCAACGAUGCGUAGCCGACCUGAGAGGGUGAUCGGCCACACUGGAACUGAGACACGGUCCAGACUCCUACGGGAGGCAGCAGUAGGGAAUCUUCCGCAAAGGGCGAAAGCCUGACGGAGCAACGCCGCGUGAGUGAUGAAGGUCUUCGGAUCGUAAAACUCUGUUAUUAGGGAAGAACAAAUGUGUAAGUAACUAUGCACGUCUUGACGGUACCUAAUCAGAAAGCCACGGCUAACUACGUG
rnacentral:rRNA from 1 species